AAUAAAAUAAAAUAAAAUAAAAUAAAAUCAAAUCAAAUAAGAUAAAAUAAAAUAAAAUAAAAUAAAAUAAAAUCAAAUCAACUCAAAUGAAAUAAAAUAAAAUCAAAUAAAAUAUAAUCAAAUCAAAUAAAAUAGAAUAAAAUCAAAUCAAAUCAAGUAAAAUCACAUCACAUAAAAUCAAAUCAAAUAAAAUAAAAUCAAAUAAAACCAAACACCCAUCAGUAGGUGUUGAUACUCCCCUUUCUUGAUAUUCUUUUCUUUUUCUUCUUCCUGCUGAAUUUCUUCAUAAAAUUAAGAACACCAAGCACCUGUUUCCAUGUUUCAAUCAUAGGAACUUUAAUCUCCAAUUUCUUGAAGAUCUCCAUAAAGCUCAAAAAUUUAUUUUCCUUCCUAUGAUAUUUCUUUUUAUGAGGCAGGGGUUUUUCACAAGAUCUUUUCUUUUUACCUCUCUUCCUUUUCUUCUCUCUCCUCAACUUUCCUAUUUUCUCUUUUCUUCUUUUCUUCUUUAUUUUUGAAUAUUUUUUCUUUUUUUUCUUUUUUCUUAACCACUGCUUUUUCUCCCUCAUCAUCUUUAUCUUCCUCAACCAACUCUUCUGUUUCUUCUUCUUUUAAAUCUCUCUCUAUCUCUUCUUCCUCUAUCUUUUCCUCCUUGACAACCUUAUCAUUUUUAGAGAUAGUGGCUUGAUAUUCUUCUUCAGGGUUAACUUCAGUAUUCUCCCUAAUAAUGCCCAAGGCCUUCAGGGCAUGGGAGUGUUGUUCCUGCAAUCGACGUUCUUG
rnacentral:lncRNA from 1 species